UCUGGGGGUGUUUAACCAACUCAAACUAAGAGGCACUCCACACACAGAGAGACGAACAAAUACACAGACAGACACAGAGACAUACAGACACAGACAGACACACACAGACACAGAGACACACAAAAACACAACACAAAUACACAGAUACACAGAGACAUACAGACACACUUACGCAUAGACACACACACAGACAAAUAGAAACAUACAGCCACACAGACAGACACACACAUAGACAAAUAGAAACACACAGACACACAAACACCACUUGAGGUUUGGGUGGUGGAGAGUGAUGGCCAGAAGAACGAGGAAUGCAUCACCGAUAGCUGGAGUCUUGUACACAGGUCCGGACGGUAUCACUGAUUACAGACCACACUUAGCUGAUAGCAGAGUCAACUCCGUUGUAAACUUCAUCACUACGGGAAAUCCUAACACAGCCUUUACCAAACACCACGUUGGAUCGAUCGGGUGGGGUGUGGAAAACCUGACGUGGAUCAAUCACUCAGCCCUCUCCUCCGGACACCAGAUCAAGAGGGGCCCAUUCCUUCAGGCUGCUGAGGACUCUCACAGCCACAACCACCAGCACCCGUGGCAGCCCCACCCAGUGCUGCUGAGCGGAAGAAAGCAGCGUGCAUUCAUGGCCUGGGAUAGACGCUGCUAAGGGGCGACCCUCAACCCACACAGCCACCCACUCACGCAACUCCUCACCCACUUAGUCACUCAAUUACUCACCCACUCACUCAACCACUCAGUCACUCACUCAACUACUCACCCACUUAGUCACUUAAUUACUCACCCACUCACUUAACCACUCAGUCACUCACGCAACUACUCACCCACUUAGUCACUCAAUUACUCACCCACUCACUCAACCACUCAGUCACUCACUCAACUACUCACCCACUUAGUCACUCAAUUACUCACCCACUCACUCAACCACUCAGUCACUCACUCAACUACUCACCCACUUAGUCACUUAAUUACUCACCCACUCACUCAACCACUCAGUCACUCACUCAACUACUCACCCACUUAGUCACUCAAUUACUCACCCACUCACUCAACCACUCAGUCACUCACGCAACUCCUCACCCACUUAGUCACUCAAUUACUCACCCACUCACUCAACCACUCAGUCACUCACUCAACUACUCACCCACUUAGUCACUUAAUUACUCACCCACUCACUCAACCACUCAGUCACUCACGCAACUCCUCACCCACUUAGUCACUCAAUUACUCACCCACUCACUCAACCACUCAGUCACUCACUCAACUACUCACCCACUUAGUCACUUAAUUACUCGCCCACUCACUCAACCACUCAGUCACUCACUCAACUACUCACCCACUUAGUCACUCAAUUACUCACCCACUCACUCAACCACUCAGUCACUCACUCAACUACUCACCCACUUAGUCACUCAAUUACUCACCCACUCACUCAACCACUCAGUCACUCACUCAACUACUCACCCACUUAGUCACUUAAUUACUCACCCACUCACUCAACCACUCAGUCACUCACGCAACUCCUCACCCACUUAGUCACUCAAUUACUCACCCACUCACUCAACCACUCAGUCACUCACUCAACUACUCACCCACUUAGUCACUUAAUUACUCACCCACUCACUCAACCACUCAGUCACUCACUCAACUACUCACCCACUUAGUCACUCAAUUACUCACCCACUCACUCAACCACUCAGUCACUCACUCAACUACUCACCCACUUAGUCACUUAAUUACUCACCCACUCACUCAACCACUCAGUCACUCACGCAACUCCUCACCCACUUAGUCACUCAAUUACUCACCCGCUCACUCAACCACUCAGUCACUCACUCAACUACUCACCCACUUAGUCACUUAAUUACUCACCCACUCACUCAACCACUCAGUCACUCACUCAACUCCUCACCCACUUAGUCACUCAAUUACUCACCCGCUCACUCAACCACUCAGUCACUCACUCAACUCCUCACCCACUUAGUCACUCAAUUACUCACCCACUCACUCAACCACUCAGUCACUCACUCAACUCCUCACCCACUUAGUCACUCAAUUACUCACCCACUCACUCAACCACUCAGUCACUCACUCAACUACUCACCCACUUAGUUACUUAAUUACUCACCCACCGACUCAUUCAAUUAACCGCUCACUCACCUACUCAUUCAACCACUUAAUCAACCACUCACUCACGCCCCCACUCACUCACCCACUCUAGUAAUAAAUAUGAUUAAGUGAGUAUGCAUAAAAUUAUCAAAAGUU